rnacentral:rRNA from 1 species
UGAGUUUGAUCCUGGCUCAGGAUGAACGCUAGCGGCAGGCCUAAUACAUGCAAGUCGAGGGGCAUCACGGUAGCAAUACUGGUGGCGACCGGCAAACGGGUGCGGAACACGUACGCAACCUUCCUUUAAGAGAUGAAUAGCCCGAAGAAAUUCGGAUUAAUGCAUCGUAAGAUUGUGGGAUGGCAUCAUCCAGCAAUUAAAGAUUUAUUUCGCUUAAAGAUGGGCGUGCGCCUGAUUAGGUAGUUGGUGGGGUAACGGCUCACCAAGCCGACGAUCAGUAACUGGCGUGAGAGCGCGACCAGUCACACGGGCACUGAGACACGGGCCCGACUCCUACGGGAGGCAGCAGUAAGGAAUAUUGGUCAAUGGACGCAAGUCUGAACCAGCCAUGCCGCGUGAAGGAUGAAAGCCCUCUGGGUUGUAAACUUCUUUUAUCUGGGAAGAAACCACCUUUUUCUAAGGGUGUUGACGGUACCAGAGGAAUAAGCACCGGCUAACUCCGUGCCAGCAGCCGCGGUAAUACGGAGGGUGCAAGCGUUAUCCGGAUUCACUGGGUUUAAAGGGUGCGUAGGCGGAUUGGUAAGUCCGUGGUGAAAUCUCCAAGCUUAACUUGGAAGCUGCCAUGGAUACUAUUAGUCUUGAAUGUUGUGGAGGUUAGCGGAAUAUGUCAUGUAGCGGUGAAAUGCAUAGAUAUGACAUAGAACACCAAUUGCGAAGGCAGCUGGCUACACAAAUAUUGACGCUGAGGCACGAAAGCGUGGGGAUCAAACAGGAUUAGAUACCCUGGUAGUCCACGCCCUAAACGAUGAUUACUCGACAUUUGCGAUACACAGCAAGUGUCUGAGCGAAAGCAUUAAGUAAUCCACCUGGGAAGUACGACCGCAAGGUUGAAACUCAAAGGAAUUGACGGA